CAGCCGCCGCGGUAAUACAGAGGGUGCGAGCGUUAAUCGGAUUUACUGGGCGUAAAGCGUGCGUAGGCGGCUUCUUAAGUCGGAUGUGAAAUCCCUGAGCUUAACUUAGGAAUUGCAUUCGAUACUGGGAAGCUAGAGUAUGGGAGAGGAUGGUAGAAUUCCAGGUGUAGCGGUGAAAUGCGUAGAGAUCUGGAGGAAUACCGAUGGCGAAGGCAGCCAUCUGGCCUAAUACUGACGCUGAGGUACGAAAGCAUGGGGAGCAAACAGGAUUAGAUACCUGAGUAGUCCCUGUCUCUUAUAC
rnacentral:rRNA from 1 species